rnacentral:lncRNA from 1 species
GAUUUACAACAAUUUAUUUGCCUAAUAUUCAAUUAAUUUUACAUAUUCUGAGAGCCAAACUGCUGACGUGAUCAUCCGCACACGAUUUGUAGUUACAGGAUCAAUAAAUAUAGCCAUAAAUAAAUGUGUAGCGUGACUCGAAGUCUCUUUUACUUGCGAUGAAAAUCAAAUAAAUUUCGAUCAAUCACGUUCUUUUUUAGGCUGAUUCUACGCAGAUCUAUUGGCACAAAUCAUUCCUUUCUGCCAGCCUCAAAAAGCUGCCAAAAUGACAACCCAAGGCAGCAGCUAACUCCUGCCCAAAGUUGCUUCUGUUCUCAUCUCAAUUAUGUGCCUGAUUUAUCAAUUAAGAUGAAUGGGGCAAACCAUUUCAAGAUCAUUUAUAAGACAGCUGAGGGGAAGUCUGCGCAGCAUCAUCGAUCAAUCAGUUCAAUCAGACUUCCUGUGACCUCUGGCCCUGCCAUCCUAAUGAUCUCUCUCUGGGACUCUUGUGCAAACCCAUGGACCCGGUGGCUAAUAAGCAGGUGUAAGGGCAUCAAAAUACCAAAAAAUGUUAACUAAUUUUCGUUGACGUGUGAAGAGGAAAGCGGGCUCAGAGCUCUGGGACCACACUCCUCCUCCAUCCGCUGCCGUGCGUUGGCCCUAUUCGAGGCGCUGUCAGUCGUCACUCAAGCAAACCCCACGGACCUGCCAGCCUGCGGCUACGCAUGACAUUUUGUUGUUGUUGUUGUUGUUUGCUUGUAACAUUUCUAGCAGCGUUAUGCAAAAUCAUUUGACCCGCUCCCAGGCCCAGAAUCGACGCUGAUCGCUAUCUGAGCGUUAAUAUAUGCCUUUGCCUUUGGUAAUGCAUAUUUCGAGGCACUUUUCCGGCCCAGGGUGGUGCUGGCCAUUGGCUCAUUUUUUUGUGUUGUUUCCCUUGCUGGGAAAAUCAUUUAAUUAACAUUUUCAUGCCGCCAUCGAGGCGCAAAAUAAUCACGCAUAUGCGUGGAAUUCCGCGGCACAGUGGCUGUGAUAGACAAAAUUGUACUCACUUUGGCAUAAACAAGUGUAACUGUGGAGCCGUAAUGCAGGAACGGCGCUGAAAGAAUAAAUUGGACGAUAAUUGCUAAUAUAAAUAUUGUUAAUGGAAUAUACAACAAUUAGACAUAUAAAAUCUAUUUUUCCCAUCAAGAAUAU